rnacentral:tRNA from 1 species
CGGGCUGUAGCGCAGGGGUUAGCGCGUUCGGUUCGGGACCGAAAAGUCGGUGGUUCAAAUCCACUCAGCCCGA